rnacentral:lncRNA from 1 species
GUCAAUUCAGACGCCACAUCAACUGAAAAAAGACUUUAAUGCACCUUUACAUAGGUGUAAUACACACACCUUAUCACCUCUACAAAAGGUGUCAAAAUGACACACCUGUAUGCUUCUUGAGGUGUCAAAAGUGAGUGUCUACUUGAGGUGACAAAGUAAAAGAUGACGUUAAGUUGAUGAGUUUGACGAAGUAUUCUGCCAUUGGAAAAAAGAAGUUUGACAUAAGUGACAUGUAAUUCUUCUUCCUUUGGCCCGUACGUCUCCCACCUCUUUCUCUACCAAG